GCUUAAUAAGGAUGUUUAUUAGUGGGUAUAGCACUGAAUAUCUAAUAUUAUUUGAAGGGAGUAUGAAAGUACUUACUUUGGAUAUUUAAUCUCAGAAUAACUAAUAGAUGAAAGAUGAUUAAGUUGUCAGACUUUUUGCGAUAAGGUGGGAAGUCAAGAGGGAAACAGCCCAGAAUAAUUUAUAAAGUUCCAAAAUUGUUAUUGAA
rnacentral:rRNA from 1 species